rnacentral:rRNA from 1 species
ACUCCGGUGGUACAAGAUGGACCCGCGUCUGAUUAGCUAGUUGGUAAGGUAACGGCUUACCAAGGCGACGAUCAGUAGCCGACCUGAGAGGGUGACCGGCCACAUUGGGACUGAGACACGGCCCAGACUCCUACGGGAGGCAGCAGUGGGGAAUAUUGCACAAUGGGGGAAACCCUGAUGCAGCAACGCCGCGUGAGUGAUGACGGUCUUCGGAUCGUAAAGUUCUGUCGCAGGGGAAGAUAAUGACGGUACCCUGUGAGGAAGCACCGGCUAACUAC